GUGCUUGCUUUAGAAGUACAUAUACUAAAACUGGGAAGAUACAGAGCAGAUACAGGCAUGCCCCUGCUUGAAGAUAACACGAAAUUCAUGAAGUGUUCCAUAUUAAA
ensembl:snRNA U6 U6 spliceosomal RNA